AUGAGUAAGUUAUGUGUGUGGUAAGGGCUCCCGGCCCUAUCUUGGUAUUAGAGCAUGGUUAUACUUGUAUGGUACAUACUUCGACGGCGAGUAAGGAGAAUCUCUCUCAAAUAUGUCUUGCCAAACACCUACUCUUUCUUCUCAAACAGUUUUACAACAUCCUAUACCUUCUGAAAUUGUAAACCUUACUUCUUCUCUCUCUUUCUCUUCUCCCCUAAGAAGAACUCUUUCUUC
rnacentral:misc_RNA from 1 species